rnacentral:rRNA from 14 species
GCCUAGGCGUCUAGAGCCGAUGAAGGACGUGGCUAAGCUGCGAAAAGCUUCGGGGAGCCGCUAAGUUGGCUAUGAUCCGGAGAUCUCCGAGAUUGGGAAACCAAUCAGGGCUCAUCCCCUGAAAGCACAUUGUGCGGGGAACGCAGGGAACUGAAACAUCUAAGUACCUGCAGGAAAAGAAAUCAAAUGAGAUUCUGCUAGUAGCGGCGAGCGAACGCAGAAUGGGCCAAACCAGCAUGCGUGCAUGUUGGGGUUGUAGGACUACCAUCAAGGGGAAGUUGCUAGGAGAAGUGUCUGGGAAGUCACACCAAAGAGAGUGAAAGUCUCGUAUCCGAAAGCGAUGAAACUGGGGUAGUAUCCUGAGUAGGACGGGGCACGUGAAAUCCUGUCUGAAUCUGGGGGGACCACCCUCCAAGCCUAAAUACUACUUACUGACCGAUAGUGUACCAGUACCGUGAGGGAAAGGUGAAAAGAACCCCGAUAAGGGGAGUGAAAUAGAAUCUUGAAACCGUGUGCUUACAAACAGUCAGAGGGCUAUUGUAAAGCCUGAUGGCGUACCUUUUGCAUUAUGAGCCGCCGAGUUAUGGUGUGUAGCAAGAUUAAGCCGUUGUAGGUGUAGUCGUAGGGAAACCGAGUCUGAAUAGGGCGUUUAGUCGCUGGGAGUAGACCCGAAACCGGGCGAUCUAUCCAUGGCCAGGGUGAAGGCAAGGUAAUGCUUGCUGGAGGCCCGAACCGGGUAAUGUUGAAAAAUUAUCGGAUGAGCUGUGGAUAGGAGUGAAAGGCUAACCAAGCCCGGAGAUAGCUGGUUCUCCUCGAAAUC